rnacentral:rRNA from 1 species
ACAUAGGCUUCAAGCGUUGUCCGGAUUUAUUGGGCGUAAAGAGUUCGUAGGCGGUCGAGUAAGUCGGGUGUGAAAAUUCUGGGCUCAACCCAGAGACGCCACCCGAUACUGCUUAACUUGAGUUCGAUAGGGGAGUGGGGAAUUCCUAGUGUAGCGGUGAAAUGCGCAGAUAUUAGGAGGAACACCGGUGGCGAAGGCGCCACUCUGGAUCGACACUGACGCUGAGGAACGAAAGCAUGGGUAGCAAACAGGAUUAGAUACCCUGGUAGUCCAUGCGGUAAACGGUGGGCACUAGGUGUGGGUUUCUAUUAACGAAAUCCGCGCCGUCGCUAACGCAUUAAGUGCCCCGCCUGGGGAGUACGGUCGCAAGACUA